CAGUAGCCACGGGAAUACGUAGGUGGCAAGCGUUGUCCGGAAUUAUUGGGCGUAAAGGGCUCGCAGGCGGUUUCUUAAGUCUGAUGUGAAAGCCCCCGGCUCAACCGGGGAGGGUCAUUGGAAACUGGGAAACUUGAGUGCAGAAGAGGAGAGUGGAAUUCCACGUGUAGCGGUGAAAUGCGUAGAGAUGUGGAGGAACACCAGUGGCGAAGGCGACUCUCUGGUCUGUAACUGACGCUGAGGAGCGAAAGCGUGGGGAGCGAACAGGAUUAGAUACCCCAGUAGUCCCUGUCUCUUAUCC
rnacentral:rRNA from 1 species